rnacentral:rRNA from 1 species
UGGGGAAUAUUGCACAAUGGGCGCAAGCCUGAUGCAGCCAUGCCGCGUGUAUGAAGAAGGCCUUCGGGUUGUAAAGUACUUUCAGCGGGGAGGAAGGGAGUAAAGUUAAUACCUUUGCUCAUUGACGUUACCCGCAGAAGAAGCACCGGCUAACUCCGUGCCAGCAGCCGCGGUAAUACGGAGGGUGCAAGCGUUAAUCGGAAUUACUGGGCGUAAAGCGCACGCAGGCGGUUUGUUAAGUCAGAUGUGAAAUCCUCGGGCUCAACCUGGGAACUGCAUCUGAUACUGGCAAGCUUGAGUCUCGUAGAGGGGGGUAGAAUUCCAGGUGUAGCGGUGAAAUGCGUAGAGAUCUGGAGGAAUACCGGUGGCGAAGGCGGCCCCCUGGACGAAGACUGACGCUCAGGUACGAAAGCGUGGGGAGCAAACAGG